UGGGGUUGAGUCAGUUGUGAGACCCGGAGCUGCUGACCCAGCGGGUGGCCCACCGAACCGGUGACACAGCGGCAGGCGUCAGGGCUCGGGAGCCGCGAGCCUGGCCUCGUCCUAGAGCUCGGCCGAGCCGUCGCCGCCGUCUUCCCCCGCCCCCAGUCAGCAAACCGCCGCCGCGGGCGCGCCCCCGCUCUGCGCUGUCUCUCCGAUGGCGUCCGCCUCAGGGGCCAUGGCGAAGCACGAGCAGAUCCUGGUCCUCGACCCGCCCACAGACCUCAAAUUCAAAGGCCCCUUCACAGAUGUAGUCACUACAAAUCUUAAAUUGCGAAAUCCAUCGGAUAGAAAAGUGUGUUUCAAAGUGAAGACUACAGCACCUCGCCGGUACUGCGUGAGGCCCAACAGUGGAAUUAUUGACCCAGGGUCAACUGUGACUGUUUCAGUAAUGCUACAGCCCUUUGACUAUGAUCCGAAUGAAAAGAGUAAACACAAGUUUAUGGUACAGACAAUUUUUGCUCCACCAAACACUUCAGAUAUGGAAGCUGUGGUAAGUAUAGAAGAAGAAUUUAUUUUGGGAAGUGGAGUUUAAACUGUGGGUUUUGUUUAGCAGUCAGUAGAAAAAUCUUAAUUUCUAAAAACUAAAAGUUAAAUUUAGGGUUUUAAAAAACUGCCAAUUUCUUCAUUAUAGAUAAUCCUAACUUAAAGAAUGAAAGAAUUUUUAAAUAGUAUUUUUUUUAGAAACAAUUUAGAAAUGCUGCUACUGGCCUGGUGCAGUGGCUCACACCUGUAAUCCCAGCCUUUUGGGAGGCCAAGACGGGAGUAUCUCAAGCCCAGGAGUUCAAGACCAGCCCAGGCGACAUGACAAGACCCUGUCUCUACAAAAAAAAAAAACAAAAAAAACAAAAAAACCACCAC
rnacentral:sRNA from 1 species